AGAGUUUGAUCAUGGCUCAGGGCGAACGCUGGCGGCGUGCUUAACACAUGCAAGUCGAGUGCGCGUUUCCGUAGCAAUACGGAAAUGGCGCACGGCGCACGGGUGCGUAACACGUGGGUAAUCUGCCCUCUGAUGGGGAAUAACCCGCCGAAAGGCGGGCUAAUACCGCAUAACAUUCCUUGGACUCCGGUUCGAGGAUUCAAAGGCGCAAGUCGUCGGAGGUGGAGCCCGCGCACGAUUAGCUAGUUGGUAGGGUAAUGGCCUACCAAGGCUUUGAUCGUUAGCUGGUCUGAGAGGAUGGCCAGCCACACUGGAACUGAGACACGGUCCAGACUCCUACGGGAGGCAGCAGUGGGGAAUCUUGCACAAUGGGCGAAAGCCUGAUGCAGCGACGCCGCGUGGGGGAUGAAGCUUCUCGGAGUGUAAACCCCUUUCGACCGGGACGAAUGCCCGCAAGGGACUGACGGUACCGGUAUAAGAAGCCCCGGCUAACUACGUGCCAGCAGCCGCGGUAAGACGUAGGGGGCCAGCGUUGCUCGGAAUUACUGGGUGUAAAGGGUUCGUAGGCGGUGUGGCAAGUCGGGAGUGAAAUCUCUGGGCUUAACUCAGGGGCUGCUUCCGAAACUGCCGUGCUAGAGUGUGGGAGAGGCGCGUGGAAUUGCAGGUGUAGCGGUGAAAUGCGUAGAUAUCUGCAGGAACACCCGUGGCGAAAGCGGCGCGCUGGACCACUACUGACGCUGAGGAACGAAAGCUAGGGGAGCAAACAGGAUUAGAUACCCCUGUAGUCC
rnacentral:rRNA from 1 species